rnacentral:tRNA from 1 species
UGGGAUAUAGCUCAGUGGUAGAGCGUCUGCCUAGCAUACAUGAAAUCCUGGGUUCAAUUCCCAGUACUGCAA